rnacentral:rRNA from 1 species
GAUGAAUGCUGGCGGCGUGCCUAACACAUGCAAGUCGAGCGGCAGCGAGGGGUGCUUGCACCCUGUCGGCGAGCGGCGAACGGCUGAGUAACGCGUAGGAAUUUGCCCCAAAGUGAGGAAUAACUGCCCGAAAGGGUAGCUAAUGCCGCAUAUGGUCUUCGGAUUAAAGGAUUUAUCCGCUUUGGGAGAAGCCUGCGUUGGAUUAGGUUGUUGGUAGGGUAAUGGCCUACCAAGCCGACGAUCCAUAGCUGGUCUGAGAGGAUGAUCAGCCAGACUGGAACUGAGACACGGUCCAGACUCCUACGGGAGGCAGCAGUGAGGAAUCUUCCACAAUGGGCGAAAGCCUGAUGGAGCAACGCCGCGUGAAGGAUGAGGGCCUUCGGGUUGUAAACUUCUUUUAUGAGUGAAGAAUAUGACGGUAACUCAUGAAUAAGCACCGGCUAACUACGUG